CAUUGAAGAGAUUUUGCUAGAGGUUGAUUUUGCUGGGAGUUCAUUGCUGAGAGUUGCGAAUGCCGGGGAUCUGGGCCUGCUCGUGUGUCUGUAGUAUCUCCCUCCUGUCCAACUCAUUAAAGAAAAACUCUUUGUCUAAUCUGAGGCGAACAUGCGUCUGAUUUUUCUGCAGCGUUGUAAGAAUGUUUUGGGGUCAGCAGGCUUCAGUCAUUGAGGCUGACACACCCAGUAUGAAACACCACAUGUUUUCAUAUCUUCUCCCUUUGUCACGUCCUGACCUUUGUUCCUUGAUUUUGUUGCUAUUUUAGGUUGGUCAGGGCGUGAGUUGGGGUGGGCAUUAUAUGUGGAGUUCUAGUUUGGUUUUCUAUGUGUUUGGCCUGGUAUGGUUCUCAAUCAGAGGCAGCUGUCAAUCGUUGUCUCUGAUUGAGAACCAUACUUAGGCAGCCUGUUUUUACCACUUGUGUUGUGGGUGAUUGUUUUCUGUGUCUGUGUUUCCUCCAGACAGAACUGUUUCGUUUUCGUUUCUGGCUUUCACUUUGUUAUUUUGUAUUUUCGUGUUCAGGGAUUUUUCAUAAAAAAUGACGAACACUUACCACGCUGCACAUCGGUCCGAUCUCUCAUACUCCUAGUCAGAGGACGACGAAUCUCCAUUUAUCUGUUCAGUGUAAUUCUUUACUUGUAUUUCUCCCAGACCCAUUUGUACGUUUCUGUCUGUUUACCGCCUACAGGCAACACAGAGAGGAGCACUGGGUCAAAGUCACAACAUUUAUGAGUCAUCAUUCAAUCAUUUAGUAUUCAUACCAUGUAAAUGUCUGAUGGUCUGUUUAUCCUGUUUCUAAAUCCAAGCAAUCGUCUAUUGUAUAAUGUCAACAUCACCUCUAUUUUAAGAUAUGUUACUUGACUACAUUAAAUAUGCUUGAUUAAAUAAAUGAGCAAGAUUUGCUAUA